UUUAAGAGCCAAUGAUGUUUCCAUUUAAAUGUCUGAACCUGUCUGAAGCAUCCCAGUGAUGCAACCUCUGUGUGGUUCUGAGGCUUCUCUGCCA
ensembl:snoRNA